AUUGAACGCUGGCGGCAGGCUUAACACAUGCAAGUCGAGCGGGGGAAGGUAGCUUGCUACCGGACCUAGCGGCGGACGGGUGAGUAAUGCUUAGGAAUCUGCCUAUUAGUGGGGGACAACAUCUCGAAAGGGAUGCUAAUACCGCAUACGUCCUACGGGAGAAAGCAGGGGAUCUUCGGACCUUGCGCUAAUAGAUGAGCCUAAGUCGGAUUAGCUAGUUGGUGGGGUAAAGGCCUACCAAGGCGACGAUCUGUAGCGGGUCUGAGAGGAUGAUCCGCCACACUGGGACUGAGACACGGCCCAGACACCUACGGGAGGCAGCAGUGGGGAAUAUUGGACAAUGGGGGGAACCCUGAUCCAGCCAUGCCGCGUGUGUGAAGAAGGCCUUAGGGUUGUAAAGCACUUUAAGCGAGGAGGAGGCUACUUUAGUUAAUACCUAGAGAUAGUGGACGUUACUCGCAGAAUAAGCACCGGCUAACUCUGUG
rnacentral:rRNA from 1 species